UACGUAGGUGGCAAGCGUUGUCCGGAAUUAUUGGGCGUAAAGCGCGCGCAGGCGGUUCUUUAAGUCUGAUGUGAAAGCCCACGGCUCAACCGUGGAGGGUCAUUGGAAACUGGAGAACUUGAGUACAGAAGAGGAAAGCGGAAUUCCACGUGUAGCGGUGAAAUGCGUAGAGAUGUGGAGGAACACCAGUGGCGAAGGCGGCUUUCUGGUCUGUAACUGACGCUGAGGCGCGGAAAGCGUGGGGAGCAAACAGG
rnacentral:rRNA from 1 species